UAGCCUAAUGGUUAAGGCUAUGGAUCGCCAAUCCGGAGACGGCGGGUUCCAUUCCCGU
rnacentral:tRNA from 1 species